GGCGGCGUGCCUAAUACAUGCAAGUCGAGCGAACGGACGAGAAGCUUGCUUCUCUGAUGUUAGCGGCGGACGGGUGAGUAACACGUGGAUAACCUACCUAUAAGACUGGGAUAACCUCGGGAAACCGGAGCUAAUACCGGAUAAUAUUUUGAACCGCAUGGUUCAAAAGUGAAAGACGGUCUUGCUGUCACUUAUAGAUGGAUCCGCGCUGCAUUAGCUAGUUGGUAAGGUAACGGCUUACCAAGGCAACGAUGCAUAGCCGACCUGAGAGGGUGAUCGGCCACACUGGAACUGAGACACGGUCCAGACUCCUACGGGAGGCAGCAGUAGGGAAUCUUCCGCAAUGGGCGAAAGCCUGACGGAGCAACGCCGCGUGAGUGAUGAAGGUCUUCGGAUCGUAAAACUCUGUUAUUAGGGAAGAACAUAUGUGUAAGUAACUGUGCACAUCUUGACGGUACCUAAUCAGAAAGCCACGGCUAACUACGUGCCAGCAGCCGCGGUAAUACGUAGGUGGCAAGCGUUAUCCGGAAUUAUUGGGCGUAAAGCGCGCGUAGGCGGUUUUUUAAGUCUGAUGUGAAAGCCCACGGCUCAACCGUGGAGGGUCAUUGGAAACUGGAAAACUUGAGUGCAGAAGAGGAAAGUGGAAUUCCAUGUGUAGCGGUGAAAUGCGCAGAGAUAUGGAGGUACACCAGUGGCGAAGGCGACUUUCU
rnacentral:rRNA from 1 species